rnacentral:rRNA from 1 species
UACGGGGGGGCAAGCGUUGUUCGGAAUUACUGGGCGUAAAGGGCUCGUAGGCGGCCCUCUCAGUCGGAUGUGAAACUCCCCAGGCUUAACCUGGGAACGGCAUCCGAUACUGGAGGGCUUGAAUUCGGGAGAGGGAUGCAGAAUUCCAGGUGUAGCGGUGAAAUGCGUGAGAUAUCUGGAGGAAUACCGGUGGCGAAGGCGGCAUCCUGGACCGAGAUUGACGCUGAGGAG